CCGCACAAACGAAGAAGAAAAAAAUGGGAGAUGAAAACAUAUUAUAGAAAAAAGAAAAGAAAAAGUCUUUCGAUCCGAACUGUCGUUUCUAAUGUUUCUUUUGGUCAACAGUCAAUAUCCUAUUUAUCAUUAAUUAAUGGGAAACAAUUAUUAAUUAUUUUUUUUAGAAUAAUCCCCAUCUCGUUAAAAUAAUACUAGAAAACUUGAUACAAAAUGUCACGAGGUGAAGAACCUUUCCAGAAAGCAUUAGUUACAUUUAAUCGAACGAAAUUGGUCGAUUUGUACGCCGAAUAGUUCAAUGAAUUUAAAGUGAUAAUGAAGGGAGAUAAUGAGUUCAAUGGAUGGCCAAAAUAUAAUAGAGGUCCAUCGAGAAGUGGAGUGAAGUUUCCGUGAUAAUUUCCCAGUUUUGACUCUCACAGGAAGACCCCACAAAAAAAAGGCCCAACUUGGAAGGGGAAGAGUGCUGCUUCAGACUAGCCAGAAUUACCUGCAACUUGGAAGGCCGCAGUAUGAGAAACUGCUUUCCUAGUUAGGCGCAUAGCGAAGUAUCCAAUUCUCUUUGCUUCUUUUAUUUCUCGGUAGAAACAUGAAUUUUGUUCUUUCAAUGACAACUCAUGGAUUAAGCACAUAUGUAUGCAUAUAUACACAUAUACAGAAUAAUCAUUCUACAAAAACAUUGCUAAAUUUUUCUAAGGUAUAUAUCCAAAACCAGAUCACGUACACUAACCAAAGUCAUCGACCGUGAAGCCUUAGGGUCCUCACCAAGAACUGCAUACAGUGGGAUCAAGCUAAUCAAGUCCU
rnacentral:lncRNA from 1 species